UGCCGAGAAGACACGCAAAACAAAACCCCAAGACCACAAGGAAACACGAGCGCUAGUGGCAGGUGGCAGCGAGUGAGAAGGUGAGCUCGCCUCCCUCGCGCCUCCCAUUCCCCCCUCGCGCAGUCCUAUCGUAGGAAUGGGAUGAGGCCGGGGCCCCUCCCUCCUUCCUCCUCGGCGCUUCUCCCGUGACAAGCCUCCAUUCUCCAGUCCGUGAGCACUCCACUCCCUGUCUCCGCUUUUGUUUCUCUCGUCCCAACCUCCCCUUUUCUGCGGGUUUGAUCCGCACGGUACAGGAUAGGGGAGGAUGGAUUUGUCCAGGUUCGCCUCCGGCGUCGGGCCCAGCCGCGUGGCCCCGCGGGCGGGCCUGCAGAUCGGCGCCGCCGAGAAUGGCUUCCGGGCCUGCUCCCUGCGGCGAGCACGGCACCGCGGCGGCGGGAACGGGAACCUCACGGCCGCCGCGUCCACCCUCCGCGGCCGCGGCGGGCUCUUCUACCUGGCUCCCACGCGCCGGAGUCAUCCCAGUCUCCGGCUCUUCUACCUGCUUCCCACGCGCGGGAGUCAUCUCAGUCUCCGCGCCAGAUGGCGGCCGCGCUGCCAGGGCAACGACUCAUUGGCCUACGUCGACGGCCCCUUGGAGACCGCUAAGGGCUCCGGCGAGGUCGACGACAACGUGCCCACCAGCUCGGGGUCCGACGACGACAGGGGCCUCGCCGACGUCGACGGCCUCAGGGAGAUGCUGCAGAGGUCCAGGAACGAGCUGGAGGUGGCCAGGGUCAACAGCACCAUGUUCGAGGAGAAGGCGCAGCGGAUAUCCGAGUCGGCCAUCGCGUUCAAGGACCGCGCCGACGGCGCCCAGAGGGAUGUGUGCGCGGCCGUAGCCACCGUGCAGGAGAUCAUCAGCAAGGAGGCGGACGCCAAGGAGGCCGUCCAGAAGGCUACCAUGGCGCUGUCCAUGGCCGAGGCGAGGCUGCAGCUGGCCGCGGAGGCGCUGGAGGCCAACCGGGGCUCGGUAGGCCCGACGGAGGUUAGCAUCGAAGGCAUGGAGCAGGAGGCCCUCCUGUCUGCACAGGAAGAGAUUAAGGAUUGUCGGGCAGCCCUGUCGCGGUGCGCGGAGGAGCUGAGUCGUGUCCAGGACAAGAAAAUGGAGCUGCAGAAGGAGGUUGAUAGGCUGACGGAUCUCGCUGGGAAGGCCCAGAUGGAUGCGUCCAACGCCGAAGAAGAUGUUGCCAAUAUAAUGGUGCUGGCUGAGCAGGCGGUGGCUCUUGAGAUGGAAGCCUCACAGCGUGUCAACGAUGCGGAAAUGGUGCUGCUGAAAGCGGAGAAGGCCAUAGCCUCGAUUGAUACCGUGGUGGAGCUACCGUCACCUGCUGAAGAGCAGAGAAGCACUGAAGAAGACAGCGUUUCUGAAGGGUACGAGUAUAGCAGCGAUGUCACUGAUGAUGUUUAUGUAAGGGAUGAGGUGUCAAGUAUCGAGCGCCUAAUGGUCGGUGACUUGACUGUUCAGGGCUUUGAGCAGCUUGAACCAUCCCGUGAAAUAUAUGAUGAAGAAAGCAGUAAUAAGAUGUCUGUUGAGCCUCAGAAAGAAGCUGAGUCUGAUUCAGAUAAGUCGAAACAAGGGAAGAAGCAAGAAAUGGAACGAAAGGAGCACACCAAGGAACCACUGAGUGCUCCAAAAGCACUGGUGAAGAGAUCAUCCCGUUUCUUCUCGGCAUCUUUCUUCUCCUCCAAAGUUGAUGGAGAGUUUACACCUACAUCUGUCUUCCGAGGGUUAAUGAAAUCAGUGCAAAAACAAGCUCCGAAGCUUGUUGUUGGGAUAUUGCUUCUCGGUGCAGGGGCAUUCUUCUUAAAUAGGGCUGAGAAGAGUCAACUAUUUCAGCAGCAAGGCAUUGCCACAAGUAUUGGAAAGGUAACCUCCACAACAAAGCCCAUAGUUCUUGAGAUACGGCGAAUUCCACAGAGAGUAAAGAAGCUAAUAGAGCUCUUACCUCAUCAAGAGGUAAAUGAGGAAGAAGCUUCACUUUUCGACAUACUAUACUUGCUUCUGGCCAGUGUUAUUUUUGUACCAUUAUUUCAGAAAAUCCCUGGAGGCAGUCCUGUUCUUGGAUAUCUUGCUGCUGGUGUCCUCAUUGGUCCAUAUGGGCUGUCCAUCAUCCGUAAUGUGCAUGAGACAAAGGCAAUUGCGGAAUUUGGAGUUGUGUUCUUACUAUUUAACAUUGGACUUGAGCUUUCUGUGGAAAGACUAAGCUCGAUGAAGAAGUAUGUCUUUGGCUUGGGAUCUGCUCAGGUGCUGGCUACUACUGCUGCUGUUGGUGUGAUAGCUCAUUGUUUUGCCGCACUACCAGGACCAGCAGCAAUUGUUGUUGGGAGUGGCUUGGCUCUGUCAUCCACAGCUGUUGUCUUGCAAGUAUUGCAAGAGCGUGGUGAAAGUACGUCACGUCAUGGACGUGCUACAUUUUCUGUGUUAUUGUUCCAGGAUUUGGCUGUGGUGGUUCUGUUGAUAUUAAUACCUCUCAUAUCACCUAAUUCUUCAAAAGGAGGGGUUGGUUUCCAAGCAAUAGCAGAAGCCAUGGGAAUGGCUGCAGUCAAAGCAGUAGCUGCUAUAACUGCCAUAAUUGCUGGAGGUCGUCUGUUGCUCCGGCCUAUUUACAAACAAAUUGCUGAAAAUCAGAAUGCUGAGAUAUUUUCAGCAAAUACACUCCUUGUUAUUUUUGGCACAAGUCUUCUUACAGCCCGGGCUGGGUUAUCGAUGGCACUUGGAGCUUUUUUAGCUGGUCUGUUACUAGCAGAAACAGAGUUCUCAUUGCAGGUUGAGUCAGAUAUAGCUCCCUAUCGUGGUCUUCUGUUAGGACUUUUCUUUAUGACGGUUGGAAUGUCUAUUGACCCAAAGCUGCUUCUGUCAAACUUCCCAGCGAUCUCUGUGAUAUUGAGUCUCUUGAUAAUUGGAAAGACAUUGUUAGUUACAUUUGUCGGCAGGGUGUUUGGGGUUUCUGCUAUAGCUGCCAUUCGUGUUGGCCUCUUGCUUGCACCUGGUGGUGAGUUUGCUUUUGUUGCCUUUGGAGAAGCUGUCAACCAGGGUCUUCUAUCACCUCAAUUAACAUCGUUGCUAUUUUUAGUCGUUGGCAUUUCAAUGGCUCUGACACCAUGGUUAGCUGCUGGAGGGCAGUUUCUGGCAUCAAAAUUUGAGCAGCAUGAUGUGAGGAGUUUAUUGCCCGUGGAAAGUGAGACUGACGAUUUGCAAGACCAUAUCAUUAUAUUAGGCUUUGGACGUGUUGGGCAGAUCAUUGCACAACUCCUGUCAGAGCGGUUAAUUCCUUUUGUUGCACUUGAUGCUGGAAGUGAUCGGGUUGCAGCUGGGCGUGCACUUGAUCUUCCAGUGUAUUUUGGUGAUUCUGGAAGCAGAGAGGUACUGCACAAAAUUGGAGCUGAAAGAGCUUGUGCUGCUGCAAUUACUUUGGAUACUCCUGGUGCAAACUACAGAGCUGUCUGGGCGUUGAACAAAUAUUUCCCAAAUGUGAAGACAUUUGUUAGAGCACAUGAUGUUGAUCAUGGUGUUAAUUUGGAGAAAGCUGGUGCAACGGCGGUUGUCCCUGAGACCUUGGAGCCAAGUCUUCAGCUAGCUGCUGCUGUCCUUGCACAAGCAAAACUCCCAAUGUCAGAGAUUCAGGAAACCAUCAACGAGUUCCGGAAUCGUCAUCUGUCAGAGCUUACAGAGGUGUGUAAUUACGUCAUCAUUCAGUGAUCUGCUAAACUUACUCAUGAUAUUUACAACAGAAAGCUUCUGGCAAACAAAAGGAUAUGCAGCGAAACAUGGCAAACCAGAUUUCUUAAUGGUAGUAAUUCAAAGAUAGCUGGUGUAGAAUCUUUGUGUGCUACGUCAGGAAGUUCUCUUGGCUAUGGAUUUUCCAGAGCUACGUCCAAAUCGAAGUCUUUCACCUCCGACGACGAAAACCAAACAGUGGAUGGCACACUAGCAAUCUGAUGCUGAUGAGAUAAAAUGGGAUCCCCUUGCUAGCGCUAGAUUGGUUGCAUUGUUCAGUAGAUAAUCCUGUUUCAUGUGGAAGGAGGGUGGAAUAAUUAUUCAUAUAAGAGCUGUCAUAAAAGUUGGCGUCCAUUUUUGUAUGUUAGACACUUAGUGCUUGUUUGAGAGUAAUGGAAGGGACUGAGAGGGCCAAAAUCCUUUAGGCCCCGUUUGUUUCCUUUUAUUUUGAGGAAUUGGAAUCUUACUAUUGGAAUAGGCUAUUUUUUUAAAAUGUGACAUUCCACCACUUUCCAAAGUUAUCAUAUAAGCCUAUCUCAAAUUAUUCAUAGGAUGAGAUAUGUAAUUUGAUUC